GUUUCCAUUUAGAAGAAGUAGCCAUAUUUGAUGACAAAUACAUCCGGACUUUGUUUUGUAGGUUCCACAUAAAAGCACCAAUACCCCCAAAUCUACAGCUGUUCUCCAAACCUUUAGAUGCCCAUUGAAUGCCAGAAGGUCUGCUGGGGGAAGAGCUGCUAAGCUGACUGUGGCUGUGGUGGAGAAACUGGAUGAGAAACAUCCUAAGGCCUCUGCUCAAAGGUGGGCCAUCAAUCAUGGAGGGACAACAAGCCAAACCAGUGGGAGCAUUCCAGAGUUGGGGAUCCCUUAUGGAAUAAGCUUACAUAUAUGUGAGCAGUCCUUAGUCAACGGAGAACUCGAUGAGGCAUAUGUGUCCUGUGAAGAAUAGCGGAACAACCCUAAAGUGAUCAUCACUGAACAGAAAAAAAGCAACUCCUCCUCAAUCAUUUAUCCUCAGAA
ensembl:lncRNA